UGAAUUUUUACCCUUUCUGGGGACCACUUUCAGAUAUUAAUUUCAGGAUAGAAGUUAGCAUGAAAAUAGACCAACUCUUUGCUAUAGGAUUUUGAAAAUAACUUUUAAAAAUUAUUGUUAUGGGAAUCAUUAUAGACUUUAAUCCAAACACUGUAUGGUGAAUAUUACGAUAUUGUUAAAAAAUUUUUUCUAACUUGAUCUUUUGUUUACACAAAUACUAUUUGCCAUAUAUUCAUUUCCUUAGUGGAAAAUUAUUCAGCAAAUAUACCGUGCAGGUCAGCGAUUUGACUGCACACACACACACAUACUUUGAUCAUAAUCCUAAAACUCAGGUUUAUGUUUAAAUGAAAAAUUUACUCAUUUAUUUGAUAAUAAAGGAUUCUGUAAAUCUAUUGAACAUUUUAUAGUUUAAGAUAACAUUUAAAAAUUAAAUUUAUCCAACAUUUAAGCUAUUAUGUAAUUCUUGAGAUUGUAUUGAUCAUUUUUCUCUUUGUGUCAUUUGUAAAUAUGUUAGAUUAAGUGAUUUCCAUUUAAUUAUACUUGCAGAUUACAAUUUGCCAUCUUUUCCACAAGUUUUUCUCUUUAUUUAAAUUACAUUUAGAUUUUACUUAUUUAAUUUUUGGCUUU
rnacentral:lncRNA from 1 species